AAAGCACGCGCCCGGUGUCACAGGAUUAGGAGUAUGUUUCGAUUUCUCUACUUUUUGUUGCUCUUUUCUGCUUGUGAUAGCCAUGUUUUUAUCCAUCCGUUGUCGAAACUGGGUGUAACUGAGACCAUAAGAGACAUCGAUCCCAAUAUUAAGGUGCAAGCGGACCCAACAGUUUUGCAGAGUUCUGGCAGCUGGGUGACAGUCACUUGGAAAGGUGUUGCAUCACCGUCCGGUGAUGACUGGAUUGGUGUAUACGAGCCUGCCAGUGCUGACCCGAAUGCCUCGGCGCCGGUUAAGUACCAGUUUGCAAACAUUUGUUCAUCACACAUGACGAAUGGCAGUGGAACUGUGAGAUUUCGAUUAGUUAACACGAGAGUUGACAUUGCGUUCAAGUUUUUACGAAAUGGAACUAAGUUUCCCAUUUUGGCUGCUGUAUCAAAUGUGGUGACUUUUAAGAAUCCUAAUGAACCUACUCAAGUUCAUCUGGCAUUAACUGAUUCUUCAUCAUCAAUGAGUGUUUCAUGGGUGAGUGGAAUGGUCAGUGAGCCUCUAGUCAUUUGGGGAACUACACCUGGUCAUCAUCCAAGCGUUGCUCGUGCUUCGUACAGAACUUAUAAUGUGAGUCAUAUGUGUGGUGCUCCAGCAAGUACUGUGGGAUGGCAUGAACCUGGGUGGCUUAUUCAAGCAAAUAUGAUACAACUAAAAAGUGGUGUAAAAUAUUACUACAAAGUGGGAGACAAGAAGUAUGGAUGGAGUUUGGAAUUCUCUUUUGUAGCUGCACCGACACCUGAUGGAACACAGCGAACUCGUCUGAUUGCAUUUGGAGACAUGGGUAAUGGCCAAGUUGACGGUAGUAUCCAGCACUGGGAAGAGCAACCAUCACUCAACACCACAGCUAACAUUUUAAGCGAGCUGGAUGAUACUGACCUUAUUCUACACAUAGGGGACAUUAGCUAUGCUGUUGGAUAUGCAGCCGAGUGGGAUGAGUUUUUUGAUCAAAUCCAGCCAAUUGCUUCCAAGAUUCCAUAUAUGGUGUGCAUGGGAAAUCAUGAACUUGACUUUCCUGUUCCAAGUUCGUUGUUUUCUGGUCAGGACUCUGGUGGUGAGUGUGGAAUACCAUACGUUUAUAGAUUUGCAAUGCCAAGGCCAUCACUCAACGAACCAUGGUAUGGGUUUUCAUAUGGCAAUAUUCAUUUUGUUUUAAUGAGCACAGAACAUGAAUUCAGAAAGGGAUCGCCACAGUACAACUUCUUGGUUAAUGAACUUGCAUCAGUUGAUCGUAAGACAACACCAUGGCUGAUCUUUGCAGGACAUAGGUAUGGUACCAGAUAUUUGUAUUUAUGGAAUUGCUAUGUGCAGACCUGGAACACAUUUUCUACAAUUUUGUGGGAUGUUUGGCAGAUGUGCAUCUUACUUGACGCAACGGUGUACCAUUGCAAACAGAUGAACAAGAAAUGAGUUGAGACUGACACAUCGCAAAAUUUUGUAUGUACAUGUAUGGUGACUAGUAGUACUACAAAUGGCCUAAUAGGUGUCUACCAACAAUCACUCUAAAGUAGUAAAAUAUGCACACAAAACAAGCUCAAGUUAAGUGUACUUUCUGCUUGAUGAACCACCUCAAGGCUUUAUCUGGAGGUGGCGAGUGUAUUUCUGACUACUGUAGUUUUGAAAACAAAGAUUGAUGAUGAACAUGCAUAGUGGUACCUCUGUUAACUUUCUAGUUGGUCUAAAGUUGAUUCAGGUUAUUCUUGUUCUUCAUCGACUAGUUCUGUCAUUCUAACCCAGUUUGUCUCUCAGUUACUUUCCACUGGCUGUGUAGAGAAACUUCAUUUUCUGGUUUGUUAUUUAAUAUGUUUUAUAUAUAAAGUACUGUAAUUUUCAAGUAAAAGCCACCGUAGAAGAAACAUUGCCUUUCUUUGGUUGUCUUAGUUGAAGAGAAAGCAUUAGAAAUAUACACCGCUCUAAAUAAACGUCCAACUGUAUUUAUCAAAGCAAGAAUUUUUAUCUAAAUUUCAAUUUUGCUAGCCAUUUGUGAAGACUUUCGGACUAUCCGGAUAACUGUUUCACCAGGUAGACAGUAGACGCCUCAGUUAAUUUUGUACGUAGAAUACUAGCACAGUCGCGGGUCACUUAUCCGACCCCCUUGGGACCAAACCUCUGUUUGAUAAGUGAAAAUGUUGGAUAACUGAAGCUGUUACGAACUCAACUAUUGUUCAUAUUAUACGACAUUUUUUUCCACAUUAGGUAUACUGAAUGUAGAUGUAGAAUGAAUGUAGAUGUAGAUGAAUGUAGAAUACAACGAGAAGAAACGCUUGAACUCACUCUCAAACUUGUGUCAAGAAACAACUGACAUGCACGUGGAUGUACAACAUAAGCAGCUGACCAGCCACGUGAUCACCCGUGUGACAAGCUUGACCUGUGGGAUAACUGGCGUGUCGGAUAAGUGAACGUCGGAUAAGUGACACGUGACUGUACCUACUAGUAAGCAAUGUCUUUCAUCAAAAUGUGUCAGUUUUACAAUAAUUAAACUCCAAAAUCAAUAAAUGCUGCUUUUGUUUAAACACUACUCUUAUUUGAAUGCAACAUCUGAGAGCACUAACAAAAAAUGAACUUUAUGGCAUUUAUUUGAAGUAAUAGAUAUAUCCAGUUAAGUGUUUACUAGGGGAGAGUCUUAUUCAUUGCUUUUACUAACAAGGUUAAAUCAUGAAUUAUAGUGGUAAUGUAGAUGUAUUGUUGAAGUUUGAUAAACUUUAACUGAGAGUGUUGAAUGACAGACUUCCUGCAGCCACUCUUUUGCAAUGAUACUUACUGUCUUUGAAUUUGUUAAGUACUUGUAUUUUGAGAAAUUCAAAUGGUAAGUACAUUAUGCAAUAGCAUCGAUCUUAGCUUAUUUUAUUUGUAUAGCAUUAUUAUCAUUAUUUAUUUUCUCGAGUAUUAUGUCUAGGCUUGAAGUUAACGCUCUACUGCAGAGUGUUGUAGAUUGUUAUCGAAAUUUGGAAGUCUUUGUGGUUGUUUGAUUAAUUGUAUUGGAGUUAUCUGCUGUGUAUAGACCAAUGUACAUUGACAGUACAGAUAACGGUAUGCCUGCUGGAGAAAAUCCUGUUGCAGAAUUGUUGAAGGAUGAACUUGAAUCGCUCUUGAAGGAGUAUUCUGUUGAUUUGGCUCUUUGGGCUCAUCAUCACAGUUAUCAAAGGACAUGC